GGGCAAUCUGCCCUGCACUCUGGGACAAGCCCUGGAAACGGGGUCUAAUACCGGAUACUGAUCAUCUUGGGCAUCCUUGGUGAUCGAAAGCUCCGGCGGUGCAGGAUGAGCCCGCGGCCUAUCAGCUUGUUGGUGAGGUAAUGGCUCACCAAGGCGACGACGGGUAGCCGGCCUGAGAGGGCGACCGGCCACACUGGGACUGAGACACGGCCCAGACUCCUACGGGAGGCAGCAGUGGGGAAUAUUGCACAAUGGGCGAAAGCCUGAUGCAGCGACGCCGCGUGAGGGAUGACGGCCUUCGGGUUGUAAACCUCUUUCAGCAGGGAAGAAGCGAAAGUGACGGUACCUGCAGAAGAAGCGCCGGCUAACUACGUGCCAGCAGCCGCGGUAAUACGUAGGGCGCGAGCGUUGUCCGGAAUUAUUGGGCGUAAAGAGCUCGUAGGCGGCUUGUCGCGUCGGUUGUGAAAGCCCGGGGCUUAACCCCGGGUCUGCAGUCGAUACGGGCAGGCUAGAGUUCGGUAGGGGAGAUCGGAAUUCCUGGUGUAGCGGUGAAAUGCGCAGAUAUCAGGAGGAACACCGGUGGCGAAGGCGGAUCUCUGGGCCGAUACUGACGCUGAGGAGCGAAAGCGUGGGGAGC
rnacentral:rRNA from 1 species